UCCCUGGUGGCUCAGAGGUUAAAGCAUCUGCCUGGAAUGCAGGCGACCCGGGUUUGAUCCCUGGGUUGGAAA
rfam:Ovis aries breed Texel chromosome 6, whole genome shotgun sequence.